GUGGCACCGAGCCCCUCAGCUGCUCCCGCGGCGGCGGCGAGAGCUGUGGCUGCGGCUCCUGCGUGAUUUUCCGCCCCCAGCGCCGCGGUGACCACCACGCUCCGAAGCCUCCGCCGCUGCUGCCCACUCCUUCGCCUGCCACCGCCACGGCCCCUAGAUGCAGCGCACGAUUCUCAUUAUUUGGGACUCUCCAUCUUCGGCAUCCUUUGGGAGGUCUGGGGGCAGGAACAGCGUUGUUGUGCGUUUGUGUCUAGUCCCCGAGGCCCGGCGGCUCUAAAAAAUUCGGAGCAAGUUGCGUCUUCUCUUCUGGCGCCAGGAGGGGGACAGCGCUGCAAACAACACCCGGGUCCCAGAGACUACUGAUCCGGCACGGACUCAGGGCCCUGUCCCGUGCACUUGUUUAUUGUCGCGCCGCUGGUGCGAGCCAAGCUGCAGCAGACAUGAUGGCCCAUGGCGAAGGGGGCGCUCCGUGACCGAUAGAUGGCAGGCGAGGGCGACGGCGUCCCUGGGCUCGGCGGCGCAGCAGGAGCCCCCCUUGGAUGUCACAUUCGUGGGAGACAGAGGAGUCUUGGACCAUGUGCGUAACACUAGCGUGGGACCGUGCAGUCCUCGGUUUGAGACAGGGCGGCGCGGAAAUAACCCCGACAGUACCAGGCUUUUUGGUGGUCAGGGAUAGAUGAUUCCAUCCUUGUGCUAAUGGUCUGCCUUCCGACUUCCUUUUAAAAUAGUAGAACCCACGCCGCUGUCUCCUACGUACUGUAAAGAACCCUGGAAGAGGCAGUGGCUCAGCCUAGCUGCAAAAAGGGGAGGUUUUUUUUGUUUGUUUGUUUGCUUGUUUUUCAGAAGUACGUUUUGUAGGUGUGUGUUUGUCUGGACACCACAAGAGAAUGUGAAAGAUUUUCAGAGAAAAUGUUUGUGAAUACAUAUGGUGUGCCCUAAAAAGCUGGAAAACACUAAGUAACAUACAGUACCGAUAGAAAGCGAGUUUCUUGAAGAGUCACCUGCUAAACUCCACUAGCGCCAUCUCUACAUUUACCCUCUUGUGGUUCAAAGGAAUAAAUGAAGAACAGUCAUUAACUCAGUAUUAAGGAUGGAGUGAGAAGCCACCAUUACCAUUUACCACUAGGUGUCCCUAUGAGCUGCUCUGCAGGAAACUGCGUUUUGAGAAAAUACUGUGCCAUGAAGAGAACAGAACAGACUAUAAUCAUAAAAAUAAGGAAAAGAGAAAGACUCAUUUAUAAAUUUGUGGACUCCUAUUUGCUUUGACUGUUGACUAUUGCCAAGUAAAGAAAUAAAUGACUCAUGCAAUAAUGAUCAAACGUGAGUGACUUUUAUCCAUAUGAACAAAGCAUCUAAGUUGAAGUAUAUGCUAUGCAACAUAUAGUCAUAUGAUGUGUAUACAUGCUUCCACAAAUACUCAAAUCCAUGCAUAUAAUUACAUAAAUACACUUAGAAAAUAAAAAAAUAAGGUAAUAGAUGGAAUAGUUCUCUCCAGAAUUAAUUUUACUAAUACUAAAUUAAAUAUUAUACGGCUGGAUUGGAUAUGAGAAGCUGAGAAUCUUUGCCCAAAUGCUCGAGGUUAUAUUUAUACAUAUUAUCAUUAGCUCAUUGCUAGUAUCAUGAUACUUAUCACAUAUGGUAAUAUAUUUGGCAAUAAUCCAUGCAUAUUAUGGCCACAAUUUAAUACCUGAAUAUUAAAAUUUCAAACUAUGAUUAGCAUACUUGGCACUUGAAAAUUAUGAUAUAUGUUUGUGAGUUUAUAUUUAUUAUUAUCUGGGAUUAUUGUUUUAGUGCUCAUGGACCCUUUGGAGGAAUCCACGUUAAAUGAUUUCUUUUAGGAUCUCGUACUACAUUUGUAUAUCAUUGUAUAUUAUCUUUAGAAUACUAAAAUGUUUAUCCAGGAAUGAUUGUACUUCAUGAAGCAAUGUAAUGAAACAAGGGAAUUAUUUGGUAGUACUUGUAAGAGUCCACAUGAUCAGUAUCACUUGAAAUCUAAGGCUAGUACAUCUUGCAAUUCUUUUUGUUAGCCUAAAUGGUGAUUUAGGAUUAUGGAAUUCUAGUACUAGAUGUUUUGUACAUUACUUUUUUUUAUUACUUUUAUGAUAGUAAUUGCUAAGAAGUCGAUAAAAUCCAGUUUAAUAAAUGACAAUUUUUUUACAUCUAAAUUAAAGGCUAUAUGUUUUAAAGUUUUGAAAUUUAAAUUAUAUGUGUCACUUAUCCUUAAAAGGACAAAUCCCUAAAAGGAGAAAACAGAAGUUUCUCCUGGAUGUAAACUAUGAGUCAUCAUUUAUGAUUGUUUUGCUAUGUAAUUGCUGAAGUCAGCAACUGUAUGGCAUAUGUUGUUGACUCUUCAGAUAUGUUUGGAAUUAUGAUAAUCAAAUGUAUCAUGUACUGAUACUUAUCAAAUCUAAAAUGGCUAGCUAAAAUGACUAAUUUCACUGAGUUUAUUUAUUCACUUGAAAAUUUAAUUAGUUAUUUACAGUCUUAAAAAAUUUGCUCUCAGAAGUAUAAUAGAAUGUUGGGCACAAAAUAGUUGAUUUUCUUCAUUGCCUCAUUCAGUUCCUUGUAAAUGCUCUCUCAUUUCAUUUUUUUUCUCCUAUCUUUUGAUGUACUUAUAUACUGAAACAUGCUCUUUGGAGUACUAAUUGGAAAUAUCAUCUGAAGUUUAAAAUGUAUAUGUCUUUUGAACAAAAAUUUUUGGAAAUUAGCCAAAAUAAUUAUACCAAAAUAAUAUGUAUAUGACAAUAUGUAAGAGGAUAAUAAUUGUAACAGAUGCCUGCAUUUGUAAAUGACUAAGAAUAACCUAAAUGUGUCAUUAAAUGAAAAAUAGUACUUAUCCAUCCAUACCUCAGAAUACUGUUCUACCAUUAAUGACAGUGUAUAUAGAAAUACUUUUUAGUCAGUAUUAAUAGCACAGAUAGCAUCACUUUGUACACUGAGAGAAAGACAGAAGGAUAGGGAGGAGAGGGAGAGAGACUUGUAUAAGUGAAUGCUUGAAUAAGCACUACAUCUUUCUGGAAGGGUACACAUGCACACAUCUAGUAAUGGCAAUUAGGACUCUUGGAAGGAUUGGAAGAAGACUGGGGAUACUUGAGUAGACUGGAGAUUUAUGUUUAACCAUAUACUCUAAUUUUUGCUAUUUGAACUUUUCAAUUUGCAUGCACUUUUGCAACAAAAAAAUUGAAAGACAAAUGUGUACUUGAGAAAAUAAGUAUGGUAUUUGGAAAAUGAAAGGAGAGAUGUUGAAGAGGACCUGCCAAUUUGUUCUCGAAAAUGUUACGUUUGUAUAUGAAACACUAUCAGUGGAGAGACUGAAUAUAUUUCUGACAACAUGAGUGUAAAUUAAUUGAUUAAAAUGGCUUCUCUUCAUAGCUCUUAUGGAUAUUCAGUCCUAUCUGUCAAUAGCUGUCUUCCAUCACCUUCAUUAUACAGAACCAUGCUGUGUACUGGGAAUUUUAGUUUUUGAUGCUGUGGUGGGUGAAGGGAAAAAUAAAAAUGGUUCCAUAGGGAAGAGAAGCGAUAAUACUUGAAAUUGUCAGCAGCAGCUCUUUACUGCUACUUGCAGGAAGAUAAGUGAGUGUGUAAUUGUGACAUAUUUUAAACACACAAACUAUUGUCAGAAUGUGUUAGAACAAAGGCAGCUGCCAUCUGGCUUGUUCUUGCAUUGAAAUAUGUACAUUCCACUGGAAAAGAGGAAGCUUUAUUAUAUAGCUAGAUUAGUUUUUCUAUGUACCUUUCUAUUAGAGUUACAAUUUGUCUCUUGAGACCCAUUGGUUCCUUGUUCUCACAUAUUUUCUAAUCAAUUUUAGAAAACAAUCGAGAACAGGCAUUAUUUCAUAUCAAUAUUUUCUGUGUCCUUUCUAGGUUUUCAAAGACAAACAGUUAAUCAUUCUAAAACACAAUUUUAUCACAAAAUUUCAUGAAGACCAUUGUUUUAUGAAAAUGUCUAAAUUGAGCAAAGUUUAGUUAUUCAACUUUAUCUACAUGAAACUCCCAUUCUCUCUCCAUCCUGUCAAAAUAAGUUAGCCUUUUCCCCAAGCUUUGAGCUGUUUUUUUUAAUCAAAAACAUUUUUUGCUUUUUUAAACUGUGGUUUUCCCCAUCAGAAAAACGUUCUUGUCCACUCUGAACAACACUGAUGACUUGCUCAUCAAAGCAUUCUCUUGCAUUAUCUAGCACUUGUUACAUAUGCUCGGUAUUGCUAUUUCCCACUUAAUUUUGAUGUUUUCUUCCAGAUUAGAUCAUUACUUUUUGAGAAAAAAAAUUUAAUUUUUGCUUAUUAGCCCCUUAAUGACAAGAUAAAUGAACUCCAGAAAACUUAUAAACAAGAAAUACUUGUCCAUUUAUGAAUUUACUCUUUCAAAAUACCUAUCACAUGCUAGACCCUAUUUCUUAUGCCAGAGAUAAAAUUAAUUUGUUGGACCUUACCAGGGUAGUUGGAAGAAUUACAGAGAUAUUUUGACCUUCUGACAAGUAGUCUACAUUUUCCAGUCAAAAUAAAUGGAAUAUAAUGUAUAAAAUACUAUUGAAUGAAUUGUGUACUUGAAUUACAUUUGCUGUAAUUUUUGUCAUAUGUGCCUAUUCUCUACAAGAGUG